GCCACUGUGGCUCAGUCGGUAGAGCAACUGAUUCGUAAUCAGUAGGUCGUGAGUUCGAUUCUCAUCAGUGGCUCCA
rnacentral:tRNA from 1 species